AUACGGAGGGUGCAAGCGUUACUCGGAAUCACUGGGCGUAAAGCGCGCGCAGGCGGCUUGAUAAGUUGGAUGUGAAAGCCUACGGCUCAACCGUAGAACUGCAUCCAAAACUGUCAGGCUAGAGUGUGGGAGAGGAAGAUGGAAUUAGUUGUGUAGGGGUAAAAUCCGUAGAGAUAACUAGGAAUACCAAAAGCGAAGGCAAUCUUCUGGAACAGUACUGACGCUGAGGCGCGAAAGCGUGGGGAGCAAACAGGAUUAGAUACCCCAGUAGUCC
rnacentral:rRNA from 1 species